AGAUAGUAAGUUUGGUCUAUUGU
rnacentral:siRNA from 1 species